rnacentral:rRNA from 1 species
CCUACGGGAGGCAGCAGUAGGGAAUCUUCCACAAUGGGCGAAAGCCUGAUGGAGCGACGCCGCGUGGGUGAAGAAGGUCUUCGGAUCGUAAAACCCUGUUGUUAGAGAAGAAAGUGCGUGAGAGUAACUGUUCACGUUUCGACGGUAUCUAACCAGAAAGCCACGGCUAACUACGUGCCAGCAGCCGCGGUAAUACGUAGGUGGCAAGCGUUAUCCGGAUUUAUUGGGCGUAAAGGGAACGCAGGCGGUCUUUUAAGUCUGAUGUGAAAGCCUUCGGCUUAACCGGAGUAGUGCAUUGGAAACUGGGAGACUUGAGUGCAGAAGAGGAGAGUGGAACUCCAUGUGUAGCGGGGAAAUGCGUAGAUAUAUGGAAGAACACCAGUGGCGAAAGCGGCUCUCUGGGCUGUAACUGACGCUGAGGUUCGAAAGCGUGGGUAGCAAACAGGAUUAGAUACCCGAGUAGUC